rnacentral:rRNA from 1 species
AUUGAACGCUGGCGGCAUGCUUUACACAUGCAAGUCGAACGGUAACAGCACUUCGGUGGCUGACGAGUGGCGAACGGGUGAGUAAUACAUCGGAACGUGCCUAGUAGUGGGGGAUAACUACUCGAAAGAGUAGCUAAUACCGCAUGAGAUCUAAGGAUGAAAGCAGGGACCUUCGGGCCUUGCGCUACUAGAGCGGCUGAUGGCAGAUUAGGUAGUUGGUGGGAUAAAAGCUUACCAAGCCGACGAUCUGUAGCUGGUCUGAGAGGACGACCAGCCACACUGGGACUGAGACACGGCCCAGACUCCUACGGGAGGCAGCAGUGGGGAAUUUUGGACAAUGGGCGCAAGCCUGAUCCAGCAAUGCCGCGUGCAGGAUGAAGGCCUUCGGGUUGUAAACUGCUUUUGUACGGAACGAAAAGCCCUCUUCUAAUACAGGAGGGUCAUUACGGUACCGUAAGAAUAAGCACCGGCUAACUACGUG